rnacentral:lncRNA from 1 species
CUUACUCACCUUUCUCUCAGUUAAAGCUAGCUCUUUAAUCUGCUCUCUUUGUUUAUGCUCCUAGGGAACCUCUCUCUGUUUAGGGGCAGCUCUCUUCUUUCGACUUCGACAUAACCAUAAUUAAAAGUUAAAAUAGUGUUUUUUCUUUUAUUUAAUGUUUCAAAUGUCAAUCCUUAUUUUUUUCCUUAGCUUAGGAUACUAAGCGUGGUCUUGUUUGUGGCCUCAGCUUGACCGGAAGGGUCCUAAAAAAAUUAGUAAUCCUAAACUCUGGUUGCAUAUAUUCCCCCGGUUCGGGUACUGUUAUCUAAGACUA